rnacentral:rRNA from 1 species
UACAGAGGUGGCAAGCGUUGUUCGGAUUUACUGGGCGUAAAGGGCGCGUAGGCGGCGUGACAAGUCACUUGUGAAAUCUCUGAGCUUAACUCAGAACGGCCAAGUGAAACUGUUGUGCUAGAGUGCAGAAGGGGCAAUCGGAAUUCUUGGUGUAGCGGUGAAAUGCGUAGAUAUCAAGAGGAACACCUGAGGUGAAGACGGGUUGCUGGGCUGACACUGACGCUGAGGCGCGAAAGCCAGGGGAGCAAACGGG